AGCUCUGUAAGCGUAUACCAAAGUUGUUGCAGUUAAAACGCUCGUAGUCGGAUUUUGGCGGGAGACGCAGGCCGUCCGCGAGGACGAACUUGCGUCUGACGCCUUUGUGGAGGGGGGCUUGGUGGUGCUUUACUGCAUUGCUGAGUCGCUGCCACCGUUUACUGUGAAUAAAUUAGAGUGUUCAAAGCAAGCAAUUUGCCCUGAAUACAUUAGCAUGGAAUAAUAGAAUAGGACCUGGUCUUGUUUCUAUUGGUUUGUAAAGUUCAGGUAAUGAUUAAGAGGGACGGUUGGGGGCAUUUGUAUUCCGGCGCUAGAGGUGAAAUUCUUGGAUUGCCGGAAGACAAACAGCUGCGAAAGCGUCUGCCAAGGACGUUUUCAUUGAUCAAGAACGAAAGUACGC
rnacentral:rRNA from 1 species